UGGGGAAUUUUGCACAAUGGGGGAAACCCUGAUGCAGCGACGCCGCGUGAUUUAGAAGGCCUUCGGGUUGUAAAAAUCUUUUCUAUGGGAAGAAAAUGACAGUACCAUAGGAAUAAGGACCGGCUAAUUACGUGCCAGCAGCCGCGGUAAUACGUAGGUGGCAAGCGUUGUCCGGAUUUAUUGGGCGUAAAGCGAGCGCAGGCGGUCAAUUAAGUCUGAUGUGAAAGCCCCCGGCUCAACCGGGGAGGGUCAUUGGAAACUGGUUGACUUGAGUGCAGAAGAGGAGAGUGGAAUUCCAUGUGUAGCGGUGAAAUGCGUAGAUAUAUGGAGGAACACCAGUGGCGAAGGCGACUCUCUGGUCUGUAACUGACGCUGAGGCUCGAAAGCGUGGGUAGCAAACAGG
rnacentral:rRNA from 1 species